GGCAGACUUAGUUUAGAGAUGGUUGUAAAAGUUUGAAGGAUGAUGCAUGCCCAGCAUAAGCAACUAUUGUAAUGAUUUUGCAGAUUAUCUACACUGUAGGUAAGCAUGUUAGGAUUGAUUUUCGUAUAAUAAUUCUUUGCUCAUUUCAACUGUUCUUAUUAAAGCCACAAUGGGAAUUGGGAUACAGAAAGGUCUGUGUGAAGUGGGUGCCAAAAAUAUUAACCAGGAAUAUGAAAAUCUAUUCAGAUGGGACUAUCUCUUCAAUAUUUGAUUUCCAAUCAGAAUAAUCCUGAAUUUCUUUGUAGAGUUGUUGUUGACAAUGAAAAUUGGUGCCG
rnacentral:lncRNA from 1 species